AUGGCCGCGGCAGUCACUCGCCGAGCCAACGCCCUCCGCGUCGAGGCCCCGGACGGCAACGCCGAGAGCGGGCGCGCCAGCCUAGCAGCAGACUCCCCCGCCGCCAAGCGGGCUGCCGACGCCAAGGACGACGUGUGGGUGGCCGCGGACGAGGGAGACACGUCGGGAGCCAUCGCCGGCGACGGCAACCGACCGCCGCUGUUCCGGACCUUCAAGGUCAAGGGAAGCAUCCUGCAUCCUUACAGGUUCAUGAUCCUCGUCCGCUUGGUCGCCAUCGUCGCUUUCUUCGCGUGGCGCGUGAAGCACAAGAACCAUGACGGCGUGUGGCUGUGGGCCACGUCCAUGGUCGCCGACGUCUGGUUCGGCUUCUCGUGGCUCCUCAACCAGCUGCCCAAGCUCAACCCCGUCAAGCGCGUCCCCGACCUGGCCGCCCUCGCGGACCACUCCGGCGACGCCAACCUGCCGGGCAUCGACAUCUUCGUCACCACCGUCGACCCCGUCGACGAACCCCUCUUGUACACCGUCAACACCAUCCUCUCCAUCCUCGCCACCGACUACCCCGUCGACAAGUACGCCUGCUACCUCUCGGACGACGGCGGCACGCUGGUGCACUACGAGGCGAUGAUCGAAGUUGCCAAUUUCGCUGUGCUGUGGGUUCCUUUUUGUCGGAAGUACUGUGUAGAGCCAAGAUCCCCCGAGAACUAUUUUGGGAUGAAAACGCAGCAGUACGCCGGGAGUAUGGCCGGAGAGUUCAUGAGGGAUCAUAGGCGUGUGCGCAGAGAGUAUGAUGAGUUCAAGGUGAGGGUAGACUCCCUUUCCACCACCAUCCGCCAACGAUCUGAUGCGUAUAACUCGAGCAAAAAGGGAGAUGGUGUACGUGCAACCUGGAUGGCUGAUGGGACACAAUGGCCUGGUACAUGGAUCGAGCAGGUUGACAACCACCGGAGAGGACAACAUGCUGGAAUUGUUCAGGUGAUACUAGGCCAUCCAAGUUGUAAACCACAACUGGGAUCGCCGGCGAGCGCCGACAAUCCACUCGACUUCAGCAACGUUGACACGAGGCUCCCCAUGCUCGUAUACAUGUCCCGGGAGAAGCGACCCGGUUAUAACCACCAAAAGAAGGCAGGCGCCAUGAACGUGAUGCUCCGUGUCUCGGCGUUGCUCUCCAACGCGCCCUUCGUCGUCAACUUUGACGGCGACCACUACAUCAACAACUCGCAAGCUCUCCGCGCCCCUAUGUGCUUCAUGCUCGACCCUCGCGACGGUCAGAACACGGCCUUUGUCCAGUUUCCUCAGCGCUUCGACGACGUCGACCCGACGGACCGCUACGCCAAUCACAACCGUGUCUUCUUCGACGGCACCAUGCUCUCCCUCAACGGCCUCCAAGGGCCUUCCUACCUUGGCACCGGCACCAUGUUCCGCCGUGUCGCGCUCUAUGGCAUGGAGCCACCACGUUACAGAGCGGAGAACAUCAAGCUUGCAGGUAAGGUCAAUGAGUUCGGUAGCUCGACGUCGUUCAUAAACUCGAUGCCGGAUGGGGCAAUCCAGGAGCGGUCUAUCACGCCGGUGUUGGUCGACGAGGCACUCAGCAAUGACCUGGCUACCCUGAUGACGUGCGCCUACGAGGAUGGAAGUUCAUGGGGGAGAGACGUCGGGUGGGUGUACAACAUCGCGACGGAGGACGUGGUGACCGGAUUCCGCAUGCACCGGCAAGGGUGGCGCUCCAUGUAUUGCUCCAUGGAGCCGGCCGCCUUCCGCGGAACGGCUCCGAUUAACCUCACCGAGCGCCUCUACCAGGUGCUCCGGUGGUCGGGCGGCUCCCUCGAGAUGUUCUUCUCCCACAGCAAUGCUCUCAUGGCCGGUCGCCGGCUCCACCCUCUCCAGCGCAUCGCCUACCUCAACAUGUCAACCUACCCGAUCGUCACGGUGUUCAUCCUGGCCUACAACCUCUUCCCCGUCCUCUGGCUCUUCUCAGAGCAGUUCUACAUCCAGAGGCCGUUCGGCACGUACAUCAUGUACCUCGUCGCCGUCAUAUCCAUCAUUCACGUGAUCGGCAUGUUCGAGGUGAAAUGGGCGGGGAUCACGCUGCUCGACUGGUGCCGCAACGAGCAGUUCUACAUGAUCGGGGCCACGGGCGUGUACCCGACGGCGGUGCUUUACAUGGCGCUCAAGCUCGUCACCGGGAAGGGGAUAUACUUCAGGCUCACGUCCAAGCAGACGGACGCCUGCUCCAAUGACAAGUUCGCCGACCUGUACACCGUGCGGUGGGUGCCGCUGCUGCUCCCGACCAUCGUGGUGCUCGUCGUGAACGUCGCGGCCGUCGGGGCAGCGAUAGGCAAGGCGGCGGCAUGGGGGUUCUUCACGGACCAGGCGCGGCACGUGCUGCUCGGGAUGCUGUUCAACGUGUGGAUCAUCGUGCUCCUCUACCCGUUUGCGCUCGGGAUCAUGGGGAAAUGGGGGAAGAGGCCCGUCAUCCUGUUCGUCAUGUUGGUCAUGGCCAUUGGCGCCGUCGCGCUCGUGUAUGUCACCUUCCAUGCUCCGUACCCAGCUGAUUUUUCAGAAGCUGCAGCUUCUCUUGGUGAAGCAUCGGUGACCGGACCAUCUGGGUAG
rnacentral:rRNA from 1 species